rnacentral:rRNA from 1 species
GACGAACGCUGGCGGCGUGCCUAAUACAUGCAAGUCGAGCGGACAGACGGGAGCUUGCUCCCUGAUGUUAGCGGCGGACGGGUGAGUAACACGUGGGUAACCUGCCUGUAAGACUGGGAUAACUCCGGGAAACCGGGGCUAAUACCGGAUGGUUGUCUGAACCGCAUGGUUCAGACAUAAAAGGUGGCUUCGGCUACCACUUACAGAUGGACCCGCGGCGCAUUAGCUAGUUGGUGAGGUAACGGCUCACCAAGGCAACGAUGCGUAGCCGACCUGAGAGGGUGAUAGGCCACACUGGGACUGAGACACGGCCCAGACUCCUACGGGAGGCAGCAGUAGGGAAUCUUCCGCAAUGGACGAAAGUCUGACGGAGCAACGCCGCGUGAGUGAUGAAGGUUUUCGGAUCGUAAAGCUCUGUUGUUAGGGAAGAACAAGUGCCGUUCAAAUAGGGCGGCACCUUGACGGUACCUAACCAGAAAGCCACGGCUAACUACGUG